UACGGCCUCCACCCGGAGUGGAUCAGACACAGUCACUUGCCACUUCCUUUGGGAAGCAGCUCCACGGCUGGAUGAGCCGCUGUGUCCAUCAACGAAAAAAUCACAGUCGACGUUCAUUUCUCCCCACGAGCAACACCAUCAAGAUACAGACAAUAAAGCAAACUGGGGCCACACCAAUAGGAUCGUCUGCUAUCUCAUCAAGUUUGAUUUUGCGAGCGCCAGCUGAUCUGCAACAGAUGAAUCGUUUAUGGUAGACCUAGCAAGAAAAGUUAGGUGAGACGGAGGCAUAACAGAGGAAAAGAGCGAAGUGGAAAAAAGUUGGAGCUUCGUCCAGUCAGUGUCGAAAGAUCUGAACACUUAAAUUCAUAUGUGCGUUUUAAAUACACACCAACAAAGGUAUUCCAGGCAAGAUGGUGUUCAACGACGACAAGGUUCGUCUUCGAGGAUAUCCACAAGCAGCUGUAGAGUGCGAUGAGUAUUUAACCGACAGAAGCUAA